GAAGCACCGGCUAACUCCGUGCCAGCAGCCGCGGUAAUACGGAGGGUGUCGAGCGUUAAUCGGAAUUACUGGGGCGUAAAGCGCAUGCAGGUGGUUUGUUAAGUCAGAUGUGAAAGCCCGGGGCUCAACCUCGUAACUGCAUUUGAAACUGGCAGACUAGAGUACUGUAGAGGGGGGUAGAAUUUUCAGGUGUAGCGGUGAAAUGCGUAGAGAUCUGAAGGAAUACCGGUGGCGAAGGCGGCCCCCCUGGACAGAUACUGACACUCAGAUGCGAAAGCGUGGGGAGCAAACAGGAUUAGAUACCCUGGUAG
rnacentral:rRNA from 1 species